rnacentral:rRNA from 1 species
UGGGGGAUAUUGCACAAUGGGCGAAAGCCUGAUGCAGCGACGCCGCGUGGGGGAUGAAGGCCUUCGGGUUGUAAACUUCUUUUGCUCUAAACAAGGCGCACCAUGGGGUGUGUUGAGUGUAGGGGUUGAUUAGCGCCGGCUAACUACGUGCCAGCAGCCGCGGUAAUACGUAGGGCGCGAGCGUUGUCCGGAAUUAUUGGGCGUAAAGGGCUUGUAGGUGGCUGGUUGCGUCUGUCGUGAAAGCUCAUGGCUUAACUGUGGGUUUGCGGUGGGUACGGGCUGGCUUGAGUGCAGUAGGGGAGGCUGGAAUUCCUGGUGUAGCGGUGGAAUGCGCAGAUAUCAGGAGGAAUACCGGUGGCGAAGGCGGGUCUCUGGGCUGUUACUGACACUGAGGAGCGAAAGCAUGGGGAGCGAACAGG